CGAAAUUUCCUGCCCAAACUGUUCCCAUCUCAUCUCGCAAACUACAUUAUUAGAACGAAAAUUAAAACCAUCCUUUAUUCAACCGUGACAGACACAGUAAAUAACUACAACCAUGCAGGAUUCUUCAGCGCAGUCACGACCGCCUUAACCUGCAAGUAGGCUUUGAGGCUGUCGAUGCCCUUCUCCCUUCCUUGCCCGCUCAUCUUGAAUCCACCGAAUGGAAUUGCAGCAUCGAAGACAUCGAAGCAGUUGAUCCAUAUUGUCCCCGCUCGCAGCGCACGGGUUAAGGUGUUUGCAGUAUCGAGGUUUUUGGUGAAGACUCCUGCGGCCAGACCGUAACGGCUGGCGUUCGCCCUCCGUAUCACCUCGUUCAGAUCACUGAAUUUCAGGAUUGAUUGAACAGGUCCAAAUAUUUCCUCUUUGGCUAUUGCCAUUCCAUCCUGAACAUCAGAGAAGACGGUGGGCUGAAUGAAGUAACCUUUGGUGCCUAUUCUAUCACCUCCGGCAACAAGGGUAGCCCCGCUUUCGACGCCAGAAUUAAUGUAUCGCAGAAUCUUGUUGAAUUGCUCCUCAUCAAUCUGAGGGCCUUGCUCAACACCCUUUCUGAAAGGAUCACCAACCACACGGUUCAAAGCACGUGCUUUUGCUUUCUCCACAAACUCUUCAUAUAUAUUUUCAUGCACGAAUGUACGAGAACCAGCACAGCAGCAUUGUCCCUGAUUAAAAAAUAGUGCAAAAUGUGCAAGCUCGACAGCCUGGUCAAUGUCAGCAUCGUCCAUUACAAUCAUAGGAGACUUGCCUCCAAGUUCUAACGUCACUGGCUUAAGGUUACUUUUUGCAGCCAAUCCAAGUACAACCUUGCCAGUUUCAGUUGAUCCAGUAAAAGCAAGCUUGUCCACUUCCAUGUGACUGGCGAGGGCAGCACCAGCAGUAGGUCCAAAUCCUGAGACAACAUUCAGGACACCCUCGGGAAGUCCAGCCUCGUGCAACAACUUGGAAACAUAAAGAGCCGACAAUGGAGUUUGCUCUGCAGUCUUCAUCACGAUCGUGUUUCCACAUGCUAGAGCAGGGCCAACUUUCCAAGCAAACAUAAGAAGCGGGAAAUUCCAUGGAAUAAUCUGGCCCGCAACACCGAUAGGCUCAUGCAAUACUUGAACAUGGUGAGGACCAUCUGCCGGAACGAUUAGCCCAUGUAUCUUGUCCGCCCAACCUGCAUAAUAUCGGAUCAGUCGAGCCAACAUCGGAACUUCAGCCUGUGCAGCCUGCUCAUACGGCUUCCCAUUAUCCCAAGUCUCAAGCGCAGCAAUCUCAUCAUUGUGUUUUUCAAUGAGAUCCGC
rnacentral:misc_RNA from 1 species